GACAGAGGCCUCGAGCGUUAGGCGGAAUCACUGGGCUUAAAGCGUGUGUAGGCGGACGCCUAAGUACCUUGUGAAAUCCCACGGCUCACCCGUGGAACCGCUGGGUAUACUGGGCGUCUUGGGCCAUUCAGGGGCAACUGGAACAAGCGGUGGAGCGGUGAAAUGCGUAGAUAUCGCUUGGAACGCCGAAGGUGAAAACAGGCUGCUGGGGUUGCGCCGACGCUGAGACACGAAAGCCAGGGGAGCAAACGGG
rnacentral:rRNA from 1 species